AUUGUGUGAUCGUCAAUAUACCAUAGAAUAACUCAGAGUCAGCUUCCGGUCUGAAAGGAGGUGUAACCGUGACGAGAUGAUUUCGGCUGCUAUCGCUCAGCCGAACAAUCUGGAGAAAUAAUUCAAGUGUGUGUUGGAGAACUACAAAAACAGUCACCGUGCCCCGCCGCGCCCCCACCCCCAGCGGAGCCGUCAUGUGGCAGGAGGCCCGCAAACAUGAGCGCAAGCUGCGCGGCAUGAUGGUGGACUACAAACGCCGCGGCGAGCGCCGGCGAGAGUACUACGAGAAGAUCAAAAAGGACCCGGCUCAGUUCCUUCAGGUUCACGGCCGGGCCUAUAAGAUCCAUCUGGACUCGGCCGUGGCGCUCGCCGCAGAAAGCCCCGUCAACAUGAUGCCCUGGCAGGGAGAUGCCAACAACAUGAUUGACAGGUUUGACGUGAGGGCACACCUGGACUUCAUACUCACCUACACCCCUCCACUCCUCAACACAGCCACACCAGAACAGGAGCUAGAGGAGAGGAAGUGCAACUAUGAGCGUUACAGAGGCCUAGUGCAGAACGACUUCGCCAGCAUCUCUGAGGAGCAGUGUUUGUACCAGAUCCAAAUGGACGAGCUCUAUGGUGGCCUGCAGAGGCCAAAUGAGGACGAGAAGAAAAAGCUUGCCAAGGAGAAGGCCACAAUUGGCUACACGUACGAGGACAGUACUGUUACGAAGCCUGGGGAGGAAGAAGAGAAAGGGGAGGAGGAUGACUCUGACAACAGCGAAUCAGAGGAGGACGAGGGUAUUCCAGACAUUGACGUGGAGGUGGACGUUGACGAGCUCAACACGGAGCAGGAGUUGGAUCUGAACAAGAUGGCCACUCCAUAUGGAAUGGCAGAGGGAGAUUUUGUCAGGAUGCUGAGGAAAGACAAGGAUGAGCUGGAGGCCAUUAAACAUGCCAAAGCUCUGGAGGCAGAGAAGGCCAUGUACUCGGGCCGUCGCUCUCGCAGACAGAGGAGGGAGUUCAGAGAGAAGAGACUGAAGGGCAGACAGAUCAGCCCACCCAGCUAUGCCAGGAGAGACAGCCCAACCUACGAUCCCUACAAACGGCCCCAGUCAGAGUCCAGUUCUGAGUCGCGGUCCCGCUCCCGUUCCCCGGGCCCAGAGAAGAUCACCUUUAUCACCAGCUUCGGAGGCAGUGACGAGGAGGCUGCAGCUGCAAUUCAAGCUCCACCCCCUGUCCACACCCCCGCCAACUCGCUGCACCAGCCCGCAGACGCCGCUCUUCCUCCAGCCCUUCCUCCUCUUCCACCCACUCUUCCACUCAUCGCUCCUCCUCUCGUUCCUCCUCUCACUCACGCCGCGACAGACGCCGUGGAGGAGGGAGGGACAGACGACAUUCCCGCUCCCGGUCGAGGCGGCGCUCCGACUCGCGGUCCCGGGGUAGAGGAGCCAACGGAGGAGGAAGAGGGGGGUCACGGAGGAGAUGCGACCGGACACAGUCCCGCUCCAAUGACCGAGAUGGAGACCGGGAGAGGGACAGGGAGCGAGACAGGGACGUGGGACGUUGCUUCGUGGCACGCAAGCGCACACGGUCCCGCUCGAACUCUCGACAGGGGGACCGUGCAAGGCGGGGGGGUGGGGGGCGGACUUUGGGAGGCCAUCAGAGGGGGGUCAGCAGCAGUAGUCCUAGCCCCUCCCAAUCCCCCCAGCCCAGCUGCACCCCUUCCCCCUCACACAGAGGAGGCCCGCCCUCUGCCACUGCACUCUGUGACAAGCUGAGAAAGCCUGAUACUCCGGGUGGUAAAGAGACGGGAGCUGCCAAAGUCAGUAAGAAUUUGAUCUAGCUGGGUUUGUUGCAAAAGUCUACGCCUCCCUCACCCCUGACAGGCUGAGCUGGCUAUCCAUCAGGCCGGGGACCCCCCCUCAAAGGCCACUGUGCACACAGAGAAUGGAAAUCAUAUGAAAUGUCUUUUGACUGCCCCUCUCUGUGGAGCUCCCAUAUUUUUAAAUGGUGUCCUUACCUCCCCCCUGAAUGUAGUGUAGAGUUCAACCCUUCUCUACUCAGUGUAGAGUGUGGUUACAGGGUUAGCCUGCCUCCAAAGGGCACAACCUACAUUGCAGAGUGUUGUGACAGACUUUUCCCGGACCCUUCUUUCUCCGUAUCCCUGAAUGGACUGGUGUUCCCAGCACCCUUUCUGUCACUUAUGUAUCUGUCUAUGUUAUGAAUAUUCUGCGGCACCUGCUGAGCUAUGCAGAGUGGUGCGGGUCAGACCAGGGAGUGGAGUGUGUCCCUCAAUCUCAAUGCUGAGACGUUUCACUCUACAUAUAGACAACACAUUUUUAAAGCCUGUGCCCUCCGACUGGGGGGAAAGCACUGAUAUGUCAUUGUCAGAAGCUCUUAAAUGGCUUCCUUGUCUCCUUUCCUUGUCUCCUCUCUCCCCUCACCAUUGAUCUUAAGGGACUGGGCCAGUAAAAGCGCAGGAGUAGUAAAGGAAGCCAUAUAAGAGAAUAGGGGGGAGAGUAGUCUGGGUGCGUUCCAAUAGUCUUAAGAGGCUUCCUCUCCUCGUCUCCAUUCUGCCAUCUGCGCUGACGGUAAAGAACUAGACCGGUGAAGGCGGUGCACUGGCAGGCAUACUCUAUAUUCUUCUCUGUUACGUUUCAGAUCAGCUAAAGUGAAGGACACUCAGGAGAGGAGGCCAUUUUAGGCUGCUAUGUAGUGAGUUCGGAGCUCUCAGGUGUAUGCAGCUGUUGUGGACAGCAGAGCGGUGAGAGGGGGGCUGGGCUUGUCUGAGCAGGCAGGAGAAAUACACCACCGUGCCUCUCCACCCAGGACUUAACAGCACACACUGUUACCUGCUGCCUUCCCCUUAGAGACACGCCACUAGACAUGGCUAGUAACCGCUCCAGUACAGGGGAUUCACCGGGGUAAAGGGAUGUCUCGUAGUUGCUGUGUAGAAGGAGAGUGAUAGAGGGAAGGGUCAUUAAACUCAGUAGGUUGCCAUUUUAGCCUGUUGUGUAUGUGUGCGCUUGUUUAUCCUCAAGCUGAAUUCCUACCUGGCCAGGGAGUGUCAGCAGGGAAUGUACAGGGGGGGAGGGCAGCUGGCGCUACUUGUGCCAGACUGUUCUUUCCCUGUUCGACUCUCUUACCCUUAGCUGUCUUCACAACAUUCACACAUAUGUACAAAUGCAUAAGACACAUAUACUUAAGAGUCCAGUUCCUUGUAAUGUGAUCCUGUCCUGCUACAGUGUGCAACGGGCACGGGGUUUGCCUCUCCUCCCCUCACGUAGCCGGCUCUUCCAGUCCAGCAGAGAACAGGACAUGACAAACGGCUCGCGUGAUUUACGGCCGUAUAACCCCCAUAUGACUAACCGUGGCCUUACCAGCUGCUUUAUGAGGCAGUGGUGGUCCAAAACGUGCCCAUCCCCGUAGUUCCACACACACCCUGCGCUCCUGCCCUGCGAGUGUGUGUGCUGAUGCCUGCGUGUCUCUUACAGCCCAGGAUGACCCCGCAGGAGAAGCUGAAGAUACGCAUGCAGAAGGCCCUCAACAGGCAGUCCAAGGCGGAUAAGAAAGCAGCCCAGGCGAAAGUCACUCAGCAGGAAAAUAAGCGAGCGGUGCG